AUAGCAAUAAACCCUGACAAAUUGGUAACUCUUUGAAGUGUUACUGGGCAUUCACAAUCAGUCACUUUGUGCAGUGAGUCAAAGCAUUGGGUGGACUGCAUCAGGCUAAACUAAAUUGAUAGAAUUGAGUGGACUCGUACUUAUAAGAGAGUUAGAACAACAACUAAAAAAACUUAGAAUAUUCUGAAAAGAACUAAUAUAGGUUAACUGGGAGGAGCGGUGAAAAUUAAGAUGGAACAGAGGUGGAGGAAGACGAUGUUACAUCAUGUGAGGAGCAGCAGUGUCCCUCCUCCAGAACAAGUGAAAGUAUUUUUUCUUCUUUUUUAGGCACUGUUCCAUGAGCACUUUUUUUUCUCAAGGAUAAGGUUUGUCAACUCAUGGAUUAUUUCUGCAUUUUCUUUCUCAAGUUUCUUGCAUCUUUUCUCCACAUCUUCUAAUUCUGCUUCAUGUGUUUUCUGUUGUUGCUUUUGCACCUGGAUUUUAGUGUUCUUGUUCUUCAAGUAGUUAGAAAGUUCCUGAAGUUCUGUGUUUUUUCUCAGCAUUUCAUUGAUGCUACUCUGCAUCUCUGAGCAUUGUUUUUCCGGCUUUUUCUUUUCUCCCUCCAGUUCAGUUGUUUUGUACUUCCUUUUUGUUUUGUUUUUUCCUCUGAAGAACAAGUUUUUCUUCUUUCUGUUUCAUGCUCCUUCUCUUGAAGUAUUUCUUGAUUUUUGAGCAGUGUUUCAUCAAGAGUUAUUUGGAGCACCUUGUAUUUUUCUCAUGUCUUCAAGUUUGCAAUCCAUUUCUUUCUGUUGUGUGUCCUGUUGUUCUUUUCUUGAAGAAACUUUAUGUCUGUGCAGUGUUUUAUUGAGCUUUAUUUGGAGCACUCUGGAUUUUUCCUUCAUGUCUUCAAGCUUGCUGUCCAUUUCUUUCUUUGAACUCUAUGUCCUGUUUUUUUUUUCUCUUGGAAGAUUUCAUUAUUUUUUUCCAGAGCUUGAUCAAGCUUUUCUUGGAGCUCCUGAUUCUUUUUGUCUUGCAGAGCCCAUUGUUUCUCCUCAAUAAUACCUUCUUUUUCUUGAAGCUGGUAGGACUGUUUUUUUUUUUUUCAUUCAGCACUCUUUCACUCAUUUUCUUGCCUCAGGGACAUAAUCUUUUCUCUGUUCAUGAGAUUUUCAUUCUGCAUUUCUUCAAAGCGCUUCUCCUCUAGUUGUACGUGUUCACCCCAAGGAAGAGAGCUGAGGUAAGGGUCUAGGGGUUCAUCCCAUGGAAGACAGCUGGGGUCAACUUCUUGUCUUUCUUGAUCAUUUCUCUGUAUCUUUUUUAUAUAUAUAUUUUUUAAUUAUUCAACUUUAUUCAACAAAAAUUUACAAUGUAUUUCAAUCGGGAGACCCUUCAAAUCCUCAUUCAACUUAUUCG
ensembl:lncRNA